rnacentral:rRNA from 1 species
CCUACGGGAGACAGCAGUGAGGAAUAUUGGUCAAUGGACGGAAGUCUGAACCAGCCAUGCCGCGUGCAGGAAGACGGCUCUAUGAGUUGUAAACUGCUUUUGUACAAGGGUAAACCUGAAUACGUGUAUUCUGCUGAAAGUACUGUACGAAUAAGGAUCGGCUAACUCCGUGCCAGCAGCCGCGGUAAUACGGAGGAUCCAAGCGUUAUCCGGAUUUAUUGGGUUUAAAGGGUGCGUAGGCGGAUUGUUAAGUUAGAGGUGAAAUGUCCGGGCUUAACUCGGGAACUGCCUCUGAUACUGUUGAUCUAGAGAGUAGGUGCGGUAGGCGGAAUGUAUGGUGUAGCGGUGAAAUGCUUAGAGAUCAUACAGAACACCGAUUGCGAAGGCAGCUUACCAGACUAUAUCUGACGUUGAGGCACGAAAGCGUGGGGAGCAAACAGGAUUAGAUACCCCAGUAGUC